GCAGCCCGUGACUAACGCCUUCCACAGCUCACCAGGGAGCCACUCCACUCCAACCUUGCCAUAGCUGUGCUGGACAACAGCAAAGAAUGUUGUUCCUUUCAUCAGUCCAGACGGGGUUACAAGGUCAUUUGGAGGUGUUGACCAGACAGCGCUCCCGUGCCGGGGACAGGAAGCCUGCAAUCAGCCUCUCGCCUGCCGUCUCGGGCAGGCGAAGUGGCCACACAUUGUCUGCGAGUCUGGACCAUGCCACACUGCCACAGCUUCCUGAAUGGGCCCCGUUUGGCAGCGCUUCCCAUGCACCGGGCCCGCCCACGUGCCCGGCGCUGCCUGUGGGCCACUUCCGCUUCGCUCAUGCAACUUCCCAGAGUAUGGCGAGAUUAGCCAUACACCGCGCCUCUGUGAAGCACGUGUGUGAGAAGUGCGUCAAGCCAUGCGUCGGAUCUGGUCAAACAACAGCAUGGGGUAAAAAGAAUGCUUUCAAACUGGUUUGAGUGAAGCAGCCUCGUUAGAUGGCCCCUUUGCAAUCUGCUGACUGAUGUGCAUUAGAAUGUUAUGGAAGAGAGAAUUUAUGAAUGGAAAUUAUGUAUUGUGGUUUGCUGAAAGAGUGUGCGCGUGAGUUUAGCUUUGAACUACUGUCACUAGAAAUGGGCCUUUUGGCUUUAGGUCUACCCAUGGAUGUCUUGUCUGUGGAGAGAACACAGACCACUGCUUUACCAUCCCACAGAAUCAAUGCUGUUAGAUGCUCCCUUCUGUUCCUCAAAGACGCCGCAAAUAUCUGGUUCUUGUUGGACACUUAAGAAUUAUGACCUACAAACCCAUCAGGGACUACAAAAGAUUCUCUCGCCUCAGAUUAAAUGUAUUCUGUCAAGGUU